rfam:Triticum aestivum genome assembly, contig: Triticum_aestivum_CS42_TGACv1_scaffold_433829_5DL
AUUCUACUCCCUCCGUCCAAAAAUACACGUCGGAGAAAUGGAUGUAUCUAAAUGUAUUUUAGUUUUAGAUACAUUGAUUUUAUCCAUUUCUCCGACAAGUUUUUCCGGACAGAGGGAGUAUAUU